rnacentral:SRP_RNA from 1 species
GCCAGGCGCGGUGGCGCAUGCCUGUAGUCCCAGCUACUCGGGAGGCUGAGGUGGGAGGAUCACUUGAGUCCAGGAGUUCUGUGCUGUAGUGGGCUAUGCCGAUCGGGUGUCUAAACUAAGUUCGGCAUCAAUAUGGUGACCUCCUGGGGCAGGGGAGCACCAGGUUGCCUAAGGAAGGGUGAACCAGCCCAAGUUGGAAACAGAGCAGGUCAAAACUCCCGUGCUGCCGGGUGCGGUGGCUCAAGCCUGUAAUCCCAGCACUUUGGGAGGCCGAGGCGGAUGGAUCACGAGGUCGAGAGACCAUCCUGGUCAACAUGGUGAAACCCCGUCUCU